CACUUCCUCCCCCAUCCAGUUUUUUUUUUGCUCUCCUCUCCACACACACACAUACUCGGCCUCUCUCCACCGAAACAGCCCACCAACCUCCAUUUCUCUUCUUUUCUCCUCCUUUGCUCUCUCUUUUCUUCCCAUCUUCAUGGUGGAAGCUUGAUUUGGUAUGGGUAUGGACUGGAAUUUCAUGGAGAAGGCAUAGAACAAGGGUUUGAAGGGCUAAAAUUUUAGCUAUACCUUGUGCAACCUUGGGUGAGGAUAAUCCCACAAAGUCGCGGAUCUUGCAAGAAGCUAUCAUCACAAUUGUACAGAUGGAGCUUCUUUGGAUGCAAGUACUGGUGAUGUGGAGGAUGACACCAUUGCAAACUACUUGGAGUACUACGACUAAAACUUGUCGCUUGAGUUGUAGAGGGUCAGUCUUGGAUAGUCUCUUUUGAAAUAUAUUUUGUAUAUGGCUGGUGUGACAUGUAACAUUUUGGUGGUAGCCAUUCUUUUGUUAUGUAUAAUCUAUGCAUAAGCCUUAAAUAGAUAGGCGUUAAUUGGCUCUUUUGUGUAAUGGACAGUUUGUAUUUAUGAUGUUGACUUCCGCAGUCAGAUUUUGU